UGCCGCGUGUGUGAUGAAUGCCCUUUGGGUUGUAAAGCACUUUUAGAUGGGAAGAAUGGACGAGAUUUAUCUUGUUAGAGACGGUACCAUCAGAAUAAGCACCGGCUAACUCCGUGCCAGCAGCCGCGGUAAUACGGAGGGUGCAAGCGUUAUCCGGAAUCACUGGGUUUAAAGGGUACGUAGGCGGCGGUAUAAGUCAGACGUCAAAGGCCAAGGCUAAACCUUGGUACGCGUUUGAAACUGUACGGCUUGAAUAUGUUCGAGGUGCAUGGAAUGCUUCAUGUAGCGGUGAAAUGCAUAGAUAUGAAGUAGAACACCAAUUGCGAAGGCAGUGCACUAGGGCAUUAUUGACGCUGAGGUACGAAAGCGUGGGUAGCGAACAGGAUUAGAUACCCUGGUAGUCCACGCCCUAAACGAUGCUAACUGGUUAUUGAUCGACUGAGGUCAGUAACUGAGGGAAACCAUUAAGUUAGCCACCUGGGGAGUACGUUCGCAAGAAUGAAACUCAAAGGAAUUGACG
rnacentral:rRNA from 1 species